GAUGAACGCGGGCGGCGCGCCUAACACAUGCAAGUCGAACGGUUAAAGCAUCUUCGGGAUGUGCAUAAAGUGGCGAACGGGCUGAGUAACACGUGGGCAACCUGCCCCUCGCAUCGGGACAGCCUCGGGAAACCGUGGUUAAUACCGGAUACUCCGCCACCCCCGCAUGGGGGAGGCGGGAAAGCCCAGACGGCGAGGGAUGGGCCCGCGGCCUGUUAGCUUGUUGGUGGGGCAGUGGCCCACCAAGGCGAUGAUGGGUAGCCGGGUUGAGAGACCGACCGGCCAGAUUGGGACUGAGACACGGCCCAGACUCCUACGGGAGGCAGCAGUGGGGAAUCUUGCACAAUGGGCGAAAGCCUGAUGCAGCGACGCCGCGUGCGGGACGAAGGCCUUCGGGUCGUAAACCGCUUUCAGCAGGGACGAGGCCGCAAGGUGACGGUACCUGCAGAAGAAGCCCCGGCUAACUACGUGCCAGCAGCCGCGGUAAUACGUAGGGGGCGAGCGUUAUCCGGAUUCAUUGGGCGUAAAGCGCGCGUAGGCGGCCUGCUAGGUCGGGAGUCAAAUCCGGGGGCUCAACCCCCGUCCGCUCCCGAUACCGGCUGGCUUGAGUCUGGUAGGGGAAGGUGGAAUUCCCAGUGUAGCGGUGGAAUGCGCAGAUAUUGGGAAGAACACCGGUGGCGAAGGCGGCCUUCUGGGCCACGACUGACGCUGAGGCGCGAAAGCUAGGGGAGCGAACAGG
rnacentral:rRNA from 1 species